rnacentral:snRNA from 1 species
AUAAUUACCUGGCAGGGAAGAUGCCAUGAUCACAAAGGUAGUUUUCCCAAGGUUGCACUCGGAAUUUGUUGACCCCUACAAUUUCCUCAAAUGUGGGAAAUUCGACUGCAUAAUUUCUGGUAGUUGGGGACUGCGUUCAGUCUUUCCCCUG